CUGCGCACCGCCCGGCCUUCCCCCAGCACCCCGGCGGGGAGACAAAGUCCCCGGGCGAGGCCAGCGGCCACCGGGUGCCCAUGGCCCGGUGCUGAGCCCCUGCCUCCUCCCUGCGGCACCGGGAGGCCUCGCUCGCCUGGCGAAGCCCCACAGUGACGGGGACGGAGCGGGAAGCUGACUUGAGUCGGGUUUUUGGGGAGGCAGCAGGUGUCGGGAGCUCGCAGGUGCUGUGGCUGCCAGCCCAACGCGGCACGAAGAUGGGGUGCCUGGCAGUGAUGGCCAGAUGGCUGCUGAAGAGGUGGCUCGGACUCGCGCUCGUCGUGCUUCACCUUGUUACUUUGGACUGUGCGCUGCCGAAGGAAGUCAAAAGUAAAGUCGGGGAGAAAGUUGGCCUGCCUUGUUGCCAUGAAAUUCCCAGCUCGGAAAGCCUGCGCAACUACCGGGUCUACUGGCAGAAGAACACCAGGGAGGUGGUGCUGGCCUACUCGGAGGGGGAGAAGAUCUCAGAUCACGACCAGUACACGAACCGGACGGAGAUGGACAGCAAGAACCUCACCCUGUGGAUCUCCCCCGUGGAAAUCCUGGACAAUGGCACUUACCAGUGUGUGGUUCAGCACCUCAGAUUUUCACAGGACUUUUCACCCCGCGUUGUGUGUGAUGCGCCCGUGUCCCUCUCUGUUACAGCUGACUUCAGUGAGCCAAACAUAACAUCAAAUGUCAUUAAUACUACUUGUGAAUCAACGGAGAUGGUGGUAACGUGUUCUUCUCAUGGAGGUUUCCCCAAACCCAAAAUCUCCGGAGUCUUCAACAACGGGUCCCUGGUGUGGAAUACCACCUGGGUGUCUGAGUCCAGCCUCAGCCCCUACAAUGUCACUGGGAAACUGCAUCUCAACGUGACCAAAGACGUCAACCUCACUUGCUCCGUUGAAUACAAUGGCUUUGUCAAGUCCACCAGUUUGCUUCUAACAAAAACAAAUGACUGCAUUGCCCCUACCAUGCCUCCAUCCUAUAAUGUCAUUACUGCUACAAGUAUCAUCUUUAUCAUCUUUCUUUUGGCUAUCACCCUAGCAGCAAGAUACUUCCCAAGGCGUGGUAAGUAUAGCUCCUUUUCAAGAAACAGUCCCUUACUGUUUAUGGAGUAUCUAUGUAAAAUACACAUUUAUAGAAACUGUACUGACACGCUAGGUAUUUUUGUACCUUCUUCUCAUUUCCUUUUUUUUUUUUUUUUUAAUGCACAAUCUACUGUCACAAAACCUAAGUCCAGCUCAGGACUUUCCUAUAUUUUGUCUGCAUGCAACACUAGCGUUCUGGUUUGAGAGUCCAGGUGUGUUGGCGGUUUUGUCUACAGAUCAGAAUAUUUCCGAAGAACAGGGGUACAGAGAGCUGGAUUCACAAAGGUCCAUUUUUAUGUAUUAAGAUGCUUGAAGAUGCCAAGAAUCUUGGUCAUCACCAUACAUAUGCCUGAGCACUAUCAGUUUCAAAAUGGGAUCGAUCUGACCACAUACCCUGCUUGGACAAUCUCUCCGAAAAGUCACAGAGCCAAAGUUACAAAAAGUGUAUAGUGCUAAGGCCACGGGAAGGAUGUGUGUACAGCAACAUCUCACUUUUAGAAGAACCCCAGUCAGGAGACACGGAUUUGUCCACUUUGUUGGUCCAAAAAGGGCAGAGGUGAGGUGCCUGGCUCUGUGAUAUGAAGUUUUCAAUAACUUGAGACACAUCCAUGAUUUUUUUGAUGGCAAAAGGGACCUCAAGCAUCUCAGGGUUAGGUGGCAGCUGAGUAGAUUUUUUUUUGUGUGGCUCAAAAAUCUUAACUGUUAGCUGUUGCUUCUUGUGUUGUCUAAGCUGACCUAGCCAGAAAGGCCCUGAAGAUGUGGGUAGGCAUCUAGAGGAUUUACAAAGGCAAGUUGGCACCCAGCCGGUACUGAAACUCAACAGCAGUACACGUCCUGUCAGUGCCCUGUUAGUAGCUUUGAAAAGUAGUCCUGGAGGAAGCCAGCAGGCCGUGCAACAUGCUAUAAAUAUCACCCAAUCGAGCUCUGUCAGGUCUCUGGGGAAGUGGAGGCAGGAGACAAGAAUCCCACACCGAGAGCACUCAGUGUUCGGCGCGCUUGAACCAAAAGCCACCAGUCUGAGCGUCACAGCCCAUCACGGUCACAGUGGUAUCUAUCCCCCUGCUGGAAAGAGGUCAUUUGUUAGGCAACAGGGACUUGGUUCACUCGGCAACACGUGAGUUUGUCAUGUUCCUGUCUUCUGCUACCUCUUACAAUUUCAAGCAAGGUCACUCACAAGUCAGGGCAUGGAGGUGGUGUUGCUAUGCUCUUCCCCUCGUCACCAACCACACCCUUUCAAAAACCAAUGUGACCACUAUGUCAGGCUGGGCUGAUUAUCUUUUGGCGCUUUAUCACCAAGAAAGGAAGCAUCUGGAAGGCAGGAACCCUCUUAGCCAUACCUGUGCACCUCCCCGUUUCCCACUCACGUCCCUCUUUGACACCAGUGCUGGCUCUUCCUUGGAGCUACGUCAAUGGGUGAGCAGUAACCAUGCUGAAAACAUGAAAACCACAGCCAAACACAGCCUGUGCUGUUAGCUGCAUGGACAAUGAACUUCUAAUUAUGGAAAAAAAUGAAGUGGAAUUGAAAGAUCUGCCUCUAAAUAAGUGCAGGAUGGAAAUUAAAAGGUUCCCUGCUAUUAGCAUUCUGAGGUAGCCUUUUAUAUAGAAACCAGAUUGCUUUUAAGGUAGAUGCAAGAAGCAUACCAAUGCGGUAGAAUGAGAUCACCUGCACUGUCAGGAGACUUAGCUGCGUAAACUCACAUUUCCUUUUUAGUCCCAAUUUCCUAACACGCACAGGGAGCAGAUCUGCCGAGUCAGGUGGCACAGUCACUUUCCAGACUGCGUGUGAGAUGUAAGAAACCAAAGCUAGCGUUUCAAACAAACUUCCCAGUUUGUACAGUUUGCUGCACUUCAGUGCUGCUGUGUAUUACCACCUGUUUGGGAAGGGAAAUGUCUGUCUUGAGAGUGCUUCCCACUGGUGCUGCUGCAGAUCACCUUUCAAGAGACGAUGUGGGAGCUCAGAAGAGGUCUGAGAGUAUCUCCACUGCUCUGACAUAGGGAAAGCUGGACCAGGAGCUGCCGUGGUGCUCAGAGUUGUUUCUGAGCUCGAAAAGCCAUGCUUCAAGGAGCUGAAGUGUGGGAGGGAAUAGAAAGAGAGAGCAAAACGGAAAUAAGGGUUCUCAGAUGUGUGAUUGUGGUGGUGACCAAAACAUGUAGGUACUUUGUUGAGGUUCACACCCCCUAAUCUGAGGAGUUUGGUAAGCUGCAUUUAGUAACGUGUACCUUUCACCAUUAUUUCCCUACUGACAUUAUCUUAGCACGUGGUGACCUGUCUUUGUAUCAGGCUGAAGUUCUAGCUCUGUGCUAAUGAGAACAUUUUUAUCCAUAUGACACUAUAUAGAUAACAGCUCUAUAUAAUGGGCCCUAUGUCUAUGGGCUAACCAUGUACUGCAGGGAUAAGCCCUGCCAAGGAAAAAUAGACAUAACUAGAUUUAAAAGACUUUUUUUCUUUGCUUUACUUUUUUGAAGAAGACAUUUAGAUCAAACACUUUGAUCUGCAGUUCACAGAAUCACAGAAUGGUUGAGGUUGGAAGAGACCUCCAGAGAUCAUCAGGUCCAACCCCCCUGCUCAAGCAGGGUCACCUAGAGCACGUUACACAGGAUUGCAUCCAGGCAGGUUUUGAACAUCUCUAAAGAAGGAGACUCCACAACCUCUCUGGGCAGCCUGUUCUAGUGCUCUGUCACCUGAACCAUAAAGAAGUUCUUCCUCAUAUGGCAAUGAACUUUGAGUUCCAAGUGCUAAUGAGGGAUCUUCUCUUUCAGCCUGUUUUCAUUGUUCUAAGAAUCAAGAUUCAAUGGAAGAGGAUGAGAAGGAAAGUAUGAAGCCACCCACGAUCUCUAAAAUGACAUCUGAAACAUCAUCACUAUGACCAGAUCACAUUUGCAGGUUUCUUAUCCUGUGUAUUCUGCACUGCAGUCCCCACCAUUCUCUACAGCAAUGCUUAUUGCGUUGACCCUUUGGCUCUCUGAAAGGGGAUGACAGCAGUAGAAAAAUUUGCUCAAGAAGACGGACAGCAUAAUCUUUUGUGACUGAAUACAAAAACCCACCUACGCCACAGAAGCUGUGGGGUGGUCCUGUUACAAUGGGAUCGCUGGAAUUCCAACUGGGAGGACCCUCCGUGUUCCUACAACAGGUAGAAGAAGAAUGUCGUCAGCAUUGUGCUGCUCCAGCAUGCCAGUGCAAGAGUUUGGGAUACUCUGACACUGCCUCUAUGAAAAUCAGGGGGCCUGCAGAGAUCUAGAAGGUAGCCCCCAUCCACCUACCCCUUUAGUAAUGCAGAGCUGGCCCCAGACCCCACCACACAAUCUCAAGUCAGGCUGCACCCCCAUGGUGCAACUGGGAGCAGCUACAACUUAUAUUCAGCCUCGCACCGGUAUUUGCCAGUACCGUUCUUUGUGCCGGACAAGUGGAUUGAGACUUGACCAUGGUGGAUAUGUGAUAUGAUAUUCCUUCUUCCCCAAAGAGGCAAUAAUGCACACACUUUUCAGGAGAAAGCACCUCGAGGUGGAAAUAUACACCUCAUGCUUAUUUUCAGCGCUGUGAGACUUUGUAGGGAAUGACAGAUACUGACGGCACACCUAACAGCUAACUAAUAUUGCUUACCUACAGCAGUGGCACAAGUUCUCAUAACCUUUCUCCCCUGAAAGGAUGGCCCUGCCAACCCGGGUAUGAAGACGCAGCUCCUCCAUUAAAUUACUUGGUUACAGGGGCACAUCUGACACAGUCCACCCCACUGGUGGUGGUGCAUGUGAGCACACACGCGUGCACACAUAAACAAGCUCUUAUAUGCUUGUUUUAUAUGCUUCCUACCUGCACUUGUUAUAAAGCCCAAAUUAAAUGUCUGUAACACUCGGCGGUUAACUUACAUGUACCUACAGGAAUGAAACUUAAGUCAGGGCCUUGCUCCAUAAAUACGGGUCUGCUUGUGUUUGUACAUUUGCCUAGCAAUAGUCGUUAGGGUAGGGUCUCCAUUUUUUUGUUGGGGGAGGAGUCUCUCAUAGUGACAUAGGGAUUUACCUUGCUUUGAAUGCUGCUGCUUUCGGUCAGCAUUCUCUCUACCCAGCCAGGACUUGAAGGAAGUUCCCUGCAGGAUGCUAACAUGGGAUAGGCCUCAUCUGAUCUGGGUGAUAUUCUUGCCUACUGUGUAGGAAAACGUGGUUUCUCAUUUUGAGGGGAAAAGAGGAGAAAAACCCCAAGCCCCAGCAAGCUUCCUAAGCAACCAUGCAUACUAACCUAACUCAGAGAACUCGUACUCCUGAGUAUGCAUACUAACUACGCAUACUAACCUAACUUAUACUCAUACCCAAGUAUGAUAGGGCUGUUUUGUUUUCUCCUUCUGUUCUGUCCUACUGCAAGUUGUACCUGUUACCUUAUUGCUUCAUCCAUGUACAUAUUUUAGCAGGGUAGACCAAAGUCUGAAAGUGCCACUCCAUCAUCUUUGUGGGAUGUUUUGUUGCUCAAGCUGUUUAUCUUGCUAGGACACAGCACAGAAAUAUUAAUUUCACUUAUUUCUAGGAGGUAAAUGCUGAGAGAAAAAUUGCUGGCAGAAGCAUGAGCGCUAACAGCACUUUAUAGAGGAUUGAGCUAUGAGAGGCUGAGGGAUCAGGGCAAGUCACUAGUGAAAAAUAAGACACUGCUCCAAUUCUACUCCUGCAGAGUCAUGCUGCCCCAUCAGCAUUUUUCUGCCUUCCCAUUCUAUGAAGUGAAAUGGGAACUUCAGAACAUUCUUACUGAGGGGUUUUUGACAGAUAAAAGGAGAUAAGCUUGCCACAAGGCCCUUAGCAGAUGACAGGGAACCAAUGUUCUUUGCACGUGUGCACUCUAGUUGCAAGCAGGACAGGGGUGGCACAGAAGGCAGUGCUAUCAAAAAGGCAACCUGACCUUAUCACAGGAAGGCUGCCAGGGAAAUGCGGUCUCAUGCUUCUAUUUCUUUCAGCCUACAUUUGUUCUUUCCAGCACAAACUACCAACUUCUUGCAGGCUAACACCCUCUUUUUAAUUUCCAUCAUUUCCAACAUUUCCACCUUGCCACCCACACUGCAGCUCUGACAGCAGUACGCACACGGCGUCUUCCUUCCGACCGUCCCAUGCUCUACUUCUGCUCCUGGCUGAUAGCACGGGCCUCUUGAGAAGCGUUUGUCUUUUGCACAGUGCCUACAUCAAACCGACUCCAGUGACACUUUAAAUAACUCCUUAAAAAGGAAACAAAAACCUUCACUGACAAAUAUGUCUAGUACCAGUUUGUUUUUAUAUUCUUGAUGGGCAGGUUGUUUGGUUUAUUUUUUUCCUUAAGCACUUACAAUAUGAAACAUGUUUUCUAUUGCUUUAUGCUGUAUUCAGUGAAUUGCACACAAAUGGUUUCCAUGAGACCUUUUCAGCUUUAUAUCUGGGUCGUUGUACCAGGUGAGCUGCUCUGUUUAUCGCAGGUAUUUUGUAUAUAACGUUUUUUUCCAGGGUUUCUCCUUUAAUUGUAUUAAAAGUGAAAUGGUGAACUCGGUGUCCUUUCCUCAGUAAUAAAAGAUGUCUGUUCUACA